GACUCCUUCUCCCAGAUGUGAGACUAAUCCUAAGACCAUCUCUAUUCCCUGCUCCACAAGUCUAAAAACCACCACCGAGAGAGACACAGCCACCCUUCUGGUAAAGAACCUUCUAGGUCCAGAAGGCCAGCUGGCUUUCCAGGGCCAGGAAACAGGAAAAGAGGAUUCAUUCAGCGUGAGUCAGGACGUAAAUAAGCCACAAGAGGCCGCGCCAUUCCGGGCUGCACCUGUGAGCCUCCCUCGGCUGAAGCCCUGUCAGCGUUUCCAUGACAAACUCAUAUUUCUGGAUGCCUCUCUUCUAGCUUCAAGAGCAUGCCUUGUGCUGAGACCUGACACUGAAAAUGCGUUCAUCGCUUUUUUCCCCUAAAAAAGACUGCACGGUCUAAAAACCCGCCUGCUCGUGAUACGUGUUUGCUUUGCAUUCUGCGAGUUUUGUGGCUAUCCUAUUUGUGUGGUAGAUGUGGAAGCAUAGGGUAAUACACGUGGGAGCUCUGUGGCAGAGAGCGGCCGCGGCAAAUACACAACCCCUGCGUGGCACAGUGAGCUGCCCCCCUCCCUAAACCAGCCCUCACACCCGCUCGCCUGUCCCAAAGCCUGAAAUUCUACCAGCAGAGAUUUACUGCUUUUGAAUCUCUCCAGCCCUAGGAGUCUCCUGAGACAAAGCACCACCCCUGAACCGCACAAAGCUGCCAUCUGAUGAGGGCUUAGAACCAUGAGGCAGCAGGGAAAAUGGACAAAGGAUGGACUCUCUCGCCUCAGGACAGCGCCCUGCUCACGUCUCACAGACACGGUCCCUGAUCAUGUAAACAUGAUUUUUCCGUCUAAUGGGUUAUCCACUGUCUAUGAUGUCUCAGAUGCUCAUCCGUUCUGGGGAGAAAGAAGGAAGAGGAGCGGUCACUCUGUUUUAUGACAAGGGGGAAAGCCAGGCAAGGGGGUUUAGAAGGAUUUAUACCAUUUAAACAGAGCACGGAUUCUUGCCUUUGGAAAAUGUACUCACAAAAAUUCCUCAUACAGUUUCAGGGUUCAGGGACUUCCUAACGUCUUUCUGUGGACCCUCUGGGAGCAAAAAACACCUGCCCCACAUGGUUCUGUCAGCCCAAGCCCUCUGAGCUCCUAGAGGGUCACGUUCAAGCGCAUGAAGGAUCUUUUCAGCUGUGCCUUUGCUGAAUGACGGACUUGUCACCCCUCGCCACCCAGCUGUCAGAUGAACUUAACCGACCUUCCCUCCCUCCCCAAGGAAGAGCUUUAAAACCCAGUGACACAGUGACAUAUCACCUGUGUUGGACAGAAUCUUCUCAGACCCAGACCGUGCCUCCCUGUUCCUGAUCCUGCAGCACAGAGUCUAAGCCGCCAUGAGGUGUCAGGAGGAUGGAUGGUCUCCACUGCAAAAACGGAAACACGGCUCAGACUGGCUUAAGCGA
rnacentral:lncRNA from 1 species